rnacentral:rRNA from 1 species
CAGCAGCCGCGGUAAUACGUAGGUGGCAAGCGUUGUCCGGAAUUAUUGGGCGUAAAGCGCGCGCAGGCGGUCCCUUAAGUCUGAUGUGAAAGCCCACGGCUCAACCGUGGAGGGUCAUUGGAAACUGGGGGACUUGAGUGCAGAAGAGGAAAGUGGAAUUCCACGUGUAGCGGUGAAAUGCGUAGAGAUGUGGAGGAACACCAGUGGCGAAGGCGACUUUCUGGUCUGUAACUGACGCUGAGGCGCGAAAGCGUGGGGAGCAAACAGGAUUAGAUACCCUGGUAGUCCACGCCGUAAACGAUGAGUGCUAAGUGUUAGGGGGUUUCCGCCCCUUAGUGCUGCAGCUAACGCAUUAAGCACUCCGCCUGGGGAGUACGGCCGCAAGGUUGAAACUUAAAGGAAUUGGCGGG